CUGACAACCUAGUUCAGUUCAUAAGUUAAUAUCCACAUCAUGAAAUGAGCAUUAUUUCACUGCUGCUGAGAACCUCAGCAAGGUGGAUAGAAGCUCAAAUUGUAAGGAAUACACCAUUUUUACUUUCCAUUAUAUUAUUUCUGAUUUCUAGGAAGUCUGUGAGCAGAAAAUAACUCCUUGUGGAAAGGAAAGGCUUUGAAAAUUUAAAACUCGGUUUUUCUUCAGAAAAAAUCGUCAGAUGGUCAAAAAUCCUUAUAUAAUCUAAAGUUUUAAGAGUCCAUAGUUAAAUUCUUGAUAUGGGUAAGAAGUUUUAAAGUUCAAUAAUGACAUAUUCUUCUGGGUAGAUGGAAAAUCUAAAGCUAUUUUUAUUCAUUAUUUAGGUUUCAAAAUGAUACUUGUUGUUUACACAGUCAAGUUCCUUUACUGCAUUACCUUGUGGUAAUAGGUUUGAAAAAGUCGAAUGUGAAGUGUGAUAUGUCUCCAGAAAAAACAGGAGGAUUGAAGGAAAACCUGAAGAAUUUUUAGUUCAUACAUAGCCAAUAUACAAGAAGGAUAAAAAAGAUCCUACAGAAAAAGCAUCAGCCUUACACCUUUGCUGCCUGCUGACAUCAAAGCAUUUCUGAGCCCAAGCCCCCACUGUUUCAAGCAUUGCAUAAAUUACGUGAGCUGAGAAUAUUUGACA